rnacentral:misc_RNA from 1 species
UUCAAGUAAAAAAUAAAAUUUACAAAUUUAUUUAAAUAAAAUGAGUGGUAUAAAAACAAGAAAAAAGACAAACGCAGCAAUGUUUGACUUAAUAGGUAACUGCAGCUUCUGAAACAGUGUUUGGUUUUGAGAGACGAGAAGGAUUUAUUCGUGCAAGAGCAGAAAAUAGAUCGAUAAUACCUCGUUUUAACAGCAAGAAGGACCUCAUUAAAUUUUAGUAUUUUUUUUCAGUAACUCUAGUAGAGUUAUAAAGAUUAAAAAAUGAGUUUAAUUUUUGCUUUUCAACUAAUAUAACCCUCAUAUAUUAAGUAAGCAUUUAUAAAACCACUUACACUUACGUAAGGGGUUGGGGGGGUUGGGUAGUAAGGUUGUUGAAGGAAGGAGCGCUUGAGAACCACUCUAAAUAUUUUAAAACUGUUCUAUAUUUACUGACAUUAUUGAAAUAAGUUUUAAAAGUUUUUUUACCAUCUAUAUAAAAUAAUCUUAGACAUAAUAUAAUUUUGG